rnacentral:ncRNA from 1 species
AAGGUUCGCUCUACGCGAUUAAUAAAGGGAACGGGGUGUGAAUCCCCGACUGUCUCGCAGCUGUAAGUUCCUUUAUAUUCCGCUGGCUUGAAAACCACUGUCAGAUUUUGGCGGGAAGGUGUCAGCGGAUGGAACAAAGUCAGAAGACCUGCCUUACAA